CUUCUGUGGUUUUUUUUCAAUACAUGGGGCUUGUGAAAGUAGCCACAUCGAUGGUGUACACGUCUAAAGGGCAUUUGCUGUGCCCACUUUCAAAGCUGUAUUGAGCACUACAUAGAGGCCCAACAAUAUAUUGUAAAAAAAUGUGAAUUCUUUUUGCAAUUAAUAAAGUAUGUUCAAAAGUUUUGGGCCAGUGUAUGCUACAUAGUGAGAUCUUGCUUCAAAAAUAAUCCCUUAAGAAAAUCAUGGAUAGAUAUGUUGGAACAUGUAGGCUGUCAGGAAAAUCAUGAUUCAAAACCUGCCUAGGCUACAUAGCAAAAGCAACAACAUUAAGGAUGGG
rnacentral:lncRNA from 1 species